UGAGUACGAGAUGCUACGGCAUCGAAGCAGUCUAUGUCAUACUUCCAAGAAAAGCUUGCACUGUCAGAAACAGAUAAUGCCUGUACCAUAACCGACACAGGUGGGUAGGUAGAGUAUACUAAGGGGCGCGAGAUAACUCUCUCUAAGGAACUCGGCAAAAUGACUCCGUAACUUCGGGAGAAGGAGUGCCUUAUUUUUAAGGUUGCAAUAACAAGAUCCAAGUAACUGUUUACCAAAAACACAGGUCUCCGCUAAGUCGUAAGACGAUGUAUGGGGGCUGACGCCUGCCCAGUGCCAGAAGGUUAAAGAAGUCGGUUAGCAUUCGCGAAGCUGGUAACUGAAGCCCUGGUGAACGGCGGCCGUAACAAUAACGGUCCUAAGGUAGCGAAAUUCCUUGUCGGGUAAGUUCCGACCCGCACGAAAGGCGUAAUGAUUUGGAUACUGUCUCGGAGAGGGGCUCGGUGAAAUAGACUUGUCUGUGAAGAUGCGGACUACCUGCACCUGGACAGAAAGACCCUAUGAAGCUUUACUGUAACUUGAAAUUGAAAUUGGACUUUAUUUGCGCAGUAUAGGUGGGAGGCGUUGAAAAUAUUCUUGCGGGAAUAUUGGAGCCAUCAGUGAGAUACCACUCUUGUAAUGUUAGAUUUCUAGCUUUAUAUCAUUAUCUGGUUAAAGAACAGUUUCAGGCGGGCAGUUUGACUGGGGCGGUCGCCUCCCAAAUGGUAACGGAGGCGCACAAAGGUUUCCUCUGAACGGGUAGAAAUCGUAUCUAGAGUGUAAAGGCAUAACGAAGCUUGACUGUGAGACCUACAAGUCGAGCAGGGACGAAAGUCGGUCUUAGUGAUCUGACGGUGCUGAGUGGAAAGGCCGUCACUCAACGGAUAAAAGUUACUCUUAGGAUAACAGGCUGAUCUCCCCCAAGAGUUCACAUCGACGGGGAGGUUUGGCACCUCGAUGUCGGCUCAUCGCAUCCUGGGGCGGUAGUACGUCCCAAGGGUUGGGCUGUUCGCCCAUGAAAGCGGUACGCGAGCUGGGUUCAGAACGUCGUGAGACAGUUCGGUCCAUAUCCGGUGUAGGCGUUAGAAUAUUGAGAGGAGCCUUCUUUAGUACGAGAGGACCGAGAAGGACAUACCUCUGGUGUACCAGUUAUCGUGCCAACGGUAAACGCUGGGUAGCUAUGUAUGGAGUGGAUAACCGCUGAAAGCAUCUAAGUGGGAAGCCCACCUCAAGAUAAG
rnacentral:rRNA from 1 species